GUCAUUUCAACUAAAGAUUUAUCGGUAACGGAUGGGGAUGCGUGACAUUAGAUAGUAGGCGGGGUAACGGCCCACCAUGGCGACGAUGUCUAGGGGUUCUGAGAGGAAGGUCCCCCACACUGGAACUGAGACACGGUCCAGACUCCUACGGGAGGCAGCAGUGAGGAAUAUUGGUCAAUGGUCUGACGACUGAACCAGCCAUGCCGCGUGAAGGUGACGGCCCUAUGGGUCUUAAACUUCUUUUGCAAGGGAGCAAUAAGGCGCACGUGUGCGUCGAUGAGAGUACCUUGCGAAUAAGCAUCGGCUAACUCCGUG
rnacentral:rRNA from 1 species